UAGAGUUUGAUCAUGGCUCAGAGCGAACGCUGGCGGCAGGCCUAACACAUGCAAGUCGAACGAACUCUUCGGAGUUAGUGGCGGACGGGUGAGUAACACGUGGGAACGUGCCUUUAGGUUCGGAAUAACUCAGGGAAACUUGUGCUAAUACCGAAUGUGCCCUUCGGGGGAAAGAUUUAUCGCCUUUAGAGCGGCCCGCGUCUGAUUAGCUAGUUGGUGAGGUAAGGGCUCACCAAGGCGACGAUCAGUAGCUGGUCUGAGAGGAUGAUCAGCCACAUUGGGACUGAGACACGGCCCAAACUCCUACGGGAGGCAGCAGUGGGGAAUCUUGCGCAAUGGGCGAAAGCCUGACGCAGCCAUGCCGCGUGAAUGAUGAAGGUCUUAGGAUUGUAAAAUUCUUUCACCGGGGACGAUAAUGACGGUACCCAGAGAAGAAGCCCCGGCUAACUUCGUGCCAGCAGCCGCGGUAAUACA
rnacentral:rRNA from 1 species